rnacentral:tRNA from 1 species
GAGGGUAUAGCUCAAGUGGUAGAGCGCAUGCUUGGCCUGCCCGAGGUUCUGGGUUCAAUUCCCAGUACCUUCU